rnacentral:rRNA from 1 species
AUGCAAGACUACUUCGCCGAUAAUCCUACUUAUCCGCUGCACCUAUUCCGGAGAAGGUAUCGAAUGCGCCGAUCCCUCUUCGUAAAAAUUGUGCAAGCUUGCGAGGCCAAUUCUCGCUUUUUUACUCAAAGGAGAAACGUCGUGGUCUUGUUGGGUUUUAGCGCAUGUCAAAAAUUCUCGGCAGUUAUGCGGGUGAUUGCAUAUGGCAUUCCGGCUGACUAUGCCGACAAGUAUCUUUGCAUUGGCGAAGAUACUACAGUUGAGUCAGUGCCUAGGUUCGCCAAAGUGAUCAUCCGCGUCUUUGGUCUUGUCUCCUUUGUCCCCUCAUGCGCUAGCUUGUCGUGGGCUGGUAAGGCGCAUCUGGAGGUGUUGCUCCUGCAGGGCAUCACUGCACAGCUGCACUCUGACGUGUGGUUGCGCAUCGGGAGAGGGGCGGCCGUGUUACAGGCCAUGGAGAGCGACACCGGGCGGUAG